GUUUUGUCCGACUAAUUUUGGCGGUCCUUGAACUCACCCUAGUUCUAAGACGUGUUUUAUGCCACUUCUUUUUCUGUCUCAUUUUGUCCACCAAACUUAUAACGUUGCGCAUGAAUGCUCAAAGGAAGUGACACGUGCAAAAUGGCUGCAAGAGUUUUUAAAGAGCGGCGACUUUCUCCCAGCCGCCUGCAAGACGGCCAUCUUCACACAAAAACAUUCAUCAGAGUCGCACGUGGGUUCCCUCUGGGUUCUCCGACUCCGUUCUUCCUCCCACCUCCAAAGACAUGCACCUGGGGAUAGGCCCCUCCCACCUCCAGAGGCAUGCACCUGGGGAUAGGCCCCUCCCACCUCCAGAGGCAUGCGCAUGCACCUGCGGAUAGGCCCCUCCCACCUACAGAGGCAUGCACCUGGCUGUUAUCAUUAAUUCUUCAUCUAAACGAGAAUAUAUAAACAUCUCAUCAGUCAAUAUCCCAGUGAGAGCAGACAUGAUACAGUAAGUGAAUGUUUAGCACUUACCAAAACUGCUCCUUGCUGGAUCUGUUAGCACAGAGCUUCUAAAACUUGUAGUUCAUCCUCUGUAUACUCAGGCUCAAAAAUAUAAGGAUCUGGACACACAGUCCCUAAGUAGUCUUUGUU